CACUCUAAGAAAUGUUCGGUAAAUUUUACCGUCAUUUUAGGGGUAAAAAAUUAAAAAAUGAGGUCGGUAAACUGAUUCACCGACAAAUGUCGGUAAUAAUCACCGACAUUGGAGGCGUGGCGUUAGUCAAUGUUGCGCGCGCACAUUGGUUAAGGAUAGCAGCCUAUCAGAAGCUAUAUUUCAAACGCGUAAUUAAUCACGCGCGUUUUUUUUGUUGCUUCACUCCUUAAUUUGUCCGUUUGAUUUGACAUUUGAUGAAUUCCAGACUUUUGGACUUCGAUAUUUGGUCGGCCGACAGUUAUAUCUUGGUCGCUUUUGUUAUUACUGCAGUACUGCGUUGGCAGUAUUUCUGUAAGGCAAUGCAUCUUAGAUUCAAUAAUGUCAGUGUAGGUGUCGUGUUGUUUAAUGCUGGUUAUUAAUGUAUUGUUCAGUGUGAUUAUAGCAGUAUGGGACAGUCGGGAAGUAGGGUAAGAUCUACCGUACCAAUAACUGAAUUAAUAUAUAUAUAUAUAUUUGAAUACAUACUGGCUAUAACAGUACAGCAGUAUACGGUACUGGUAUAAGGUUGGUUGGACUAGCUUACAUCAGUAAAUCCGCAGAUCCAUGUUACGCCUGGCGAUAUUUAACACAGCCAGAGCUUGAUUCGUAUUUCCGAAUCUGAAUUUUUAUUGUCAGUAGACUGGCAAAUGUUAAAAUGGCAAUACAAUAUCUGAAUAUGCCCUCUUCACAGCUCUAGACUUUGAAAUGUUAGCAUCUAAUUACUGAAUCAAGAUAAACCGUCAAAUUAUCAACAGCUUUAUGAUGAUCGCAAACUCGGACUACGUGCAGGCUGGACUACAGGAAACACAUGAACAGGCAGACAGGGAGAGAGGUGACGUUGCUCUACACCCCAAAACCGUGGCUUGAAGAAUAUGGCAUUAAAAUAAACAGAAACUGAAGAAUCUGAUUAUGCAGGCAUGAACAAAUUGUCUGCCCCAACCCUGAACUGUGAAAAAUUCAAUGUCUAAGGCUUCAUAAUAUUUGAGAUUCUUACUAACAUGUUAUUUCAAGGAAGAAGUAUUUGAGGUACCUCUUCCAUCUGAUCUACAAAGUUUGGUAAUACUGGAAAAGUCUGUAUCGAUUGAUUGCCCACAGAUUUUUGUCCCUGAACUCCAAGAGGAAAAGAAAAUAUGAAAGUUUAUAGAAAGAUAACUUGAAGAUAUGGAGAAUAAAAUACCACGAGUUCGUAAAAGCAGAUGGAUAAUGCAAUACAAUCAGCAUGUGCAACACUAACCCGGAAAGACUCCCCCUCUGCCAUAGAAUAUUCUCUCACAGAGGCUGUCUAUAGAGACUUGUUUAAAGUGACUAUGUGAACGGAUACCCUGCGAGCAUAAACUUCUUCAACGAGAAGUUUCUGUCUACCUCGCAUUUCUAACUUUUCACUAUACAAUUUCUCAUUUUUCCAAGUUUUAUAAUUCAUUUCACGUUCACUUUUAUUUUUUGAAUAAACCUUGUUUCAUACAAUAA